rnacentral:rRNA from 1 species
GAUGAACGCUAGCGGCAGGCUUAAUACAUGCAAGUCGAGGGGCAGCAGGGAUAGCAAUAUUCGCUGGCGACCGGCGCACGGGUGCGUAACACGUAUACAAUCUGCCUUUAACAGGGGGAUAGCCUUUCGAAAGAGAGAUUAAUACCCCAUAAUAGAAGAUUCGGCAUCGUAAUUUUUUGAAAGCUCCGGCGGUUAGAGAUGAGUAUGCGUCUGAUUAGCUAGAGGUGAGGUAACGGCUCACCUAGGCAACGAUCAGUAGGGGAUCUGAGAGGACCUACCCCCACACGGAUACUGAGACACGGA